UCGCUGUUUCGCGGCAACAUCUAAUUUCAGAAGCUUCAGUUUGGCAUCAUAAUAAUCCUUACAGAUCUUUAGCUUGCUGUCAUAAUAAUUUUUACGGACUUCCAAAUCUUUUUCAGAUAUGCAACUGAGGUUUUUCGUGUAAUUCGUAACUUCGGUAAGACGACGGGCUGCAGAUAUAGGCCUGGAGCGUGAGAAUACAGCUGCAACAUAUCAAUUCCAUUAAAGCACAACAUCAAUAUAUAGGGAUGAAAUUGGUGGGACAGAAAGAAUACGAACGUCUACUAGCAGGAGGCUGCUUUGCUUCAGAAACUUUCCCUGCAUAUAAUUAAGAUUGUUUCUUGAAGAGACAAGGCGGGAGAACCGUCAAUAACUAUUCGAGAUGACUUAAGCUGCUACCGUCAAACUUACUUUUAGGUGCUAUGUAUUCUAUGUUGUCGUCCAUCGAAAUACUGCUACAUCCUACUGCUACAUUUGUACCAAUAUGUAUACCCUGCCCAAAGAGAGAAUUAUAAACUAGGAAUGAACGAAAACUCGUCUUUUUCGGGCAUUUCGCCACCCACUGAUGAGUAACUGAUACAUCCGUCAGGUCUCGAGUGUGCGUUCCAAACCUAUAAGAUACUGGAUGGUGCACAAUGCACACUUUUAUCUCCUCAAGUAGGGCAUUUCGAUGCCCAAAAUAAAUACAUCUUCUCAUCGAUCAGAGGAUAGAAAUCAAAAUUCACACAUUUUUUC